UGGUGGGUAGUUUGACUGGGGCGGUCUCCUCCUAAAGAGUAACGGAGGAGCACGAAGGUUGGCUAAUCCUGGUCGGACAUCAGGAGGUUAGUGCAAUGGCAUAAGCCAGCUUGACUGCGAGCGUGACGGCGCGAGCAGGUGCGAAAGCAGGUCAUAGUGAUCCGGUGGUUCUGAAUGGAAGGGCCAUCGCUCAACGGAUAAAAGGUACUCCGGGGAUAACAGGCUGAUACCGCCCAAGAGUUCAUAUCGACGGCGGUGUUUGGCACCUCGAUGUCGGCUCAUCACAUCCUGGGGCUGAAGUAGGUCCCAAGGGUAUGGCUGUUCGCCAUUUAAAGUGGUACGCGAGCUGGGUUUAGAACGUCGUGAGACAGUUCGGUCCCUAUCUGCCGUGGGCGCUGGAGAACUGAGGGGGGCUGCUCCUAGUACGAGAGGACCGGAGUGGACGCAUCACUGGUGUUCGGGUUGUCAUGCCAAUGGCACUGCCCGGUAGCUAAAUGCGGAAGAGAUAAGUGCUGAAAGCAUCUAAGCACGAAACUUGCCCCGAGAUGAGUUCUCCCUGACUCCUUGAGAGUCCUGAAGGAACGUUGAAGACGACGACGUUGA
rnacentral:rRNA from 1 species